rnacentral:rRNA from 1 species
GCUUGUCUCAAAGAUUAAGCCAUGCAUGUCUAAGUAUAAGCCUUUGUACGGCGAAACUGCGAAUGGCUCAUUAAAACAGUUAUAGUUUAUUCGAUAAUCAAUUGCUACAUGGAUAACUGUAGUAAUUCUAGAGCUAAUACAUGCGUCAACACCUGACUUAACGGAAGGGUAGUGUUUAUUAGAUACAAAAUCAACAUCACUGUUGGUGAUUCAUAAUAACCAAGCGAAUCGCACGGCUCGUCCGGCGAUAGAUCGUUCAAGUUUCUGACCUAUCAGCUUUCGACGGUAGGGUAUUGGCCUACCGUGGCAAUGACGGGUAACGGAGAAUUAGGGUUCGAUUCCGGAGAGGGAGCCUGAGAAACGGCUACCACAUCUAAGGAAGGCAGCAGG